UCAUGUUUCAGGUCCUCAUGUUCUAACCUUUCAGUGACUUCUCCUUAUGUAAUGAUAGUGGUAAUGAGUGAUUGUUUAUAUGAGAGAGAGUAAAUGAUCCUUGUUAAAGAAAAGACUAUAGCAUGCUUGUUGUAUCUAAGGCUAAGAUCGAGGUAUAAGCUUUUUGUAUAUGUCAUGGUUAGUUGAGAAUUCCAUGUGUGUCUUCAUAAGAGUAGUGCAAGAAAGUUGUUAUUGAUAGGGGUUUAGAGAAAAUUAGAAAGAUGUUUUUUUGGUUGUUUAGAAGUGCAUAUGUGGUUAUGAUGGUAGGCUUGAAGGUCAUAUUUGCAUAUAUGUGGAUGAAUGCACUGCACGUUAGUGAAUGUCUAGUAAGAGAUUGAAUAUAGUUGCUAAAGUGAUAAUAAGAAAUAUUCAUAAGAUGAGGAGUUGUGAAAAUACAGGGUGGGUCGAAUUCAUGAUUCAUGCUAGUAUUAAGUGUUAUGCGUGCACUUUGCAGAUUCGAGUAGGCUUGAACAUAGUGAGAGAAUUUAGUUCAACUCAGACUUCACUAGGUAGAGUUCUCAGUGCUUAUCUGAAUAUUUUCAGUAGACUCAAGUGAAGUGCAGUUUUGAAGUGGAAUGUAUAGUUGAGUAUAAGUUUUCAGUAUAAUUUAGUCCGUUUAGCCAGCAAUUCAGUUAGUAGUCAGAUAGACAAGUUCCUUGGUUUUCCAUAUUCCAAUAUAGUCGUACUAUUUGAGGUUUCAUGAAUAUAGCCAUUCCCAGAGGUAGUUCAUUCGUAUCCAUGUAAAUUGUGAAUCUAGUUCAGUCCAUGCAUUAUGUUUCAAAUUUUAGAUAUUUAGUCAUGAUUUAGUUCGUAAGUAUCUGGUGCAUCAUCUCAGUCUUUUCUUAGUAUUCAGCAAAGUCAAUAUCAUUCAGGGGACGAACAAUCCCAAGGGGGAGAUGUUGUAUACCCGAGUUUUCAUGUCCUAAAUCUCUCAACCUUUCUCCACAAAACAAGAUCCAACUUAAAGUAAUGGGUACACAUAAGUUGACUCUCUCGUUUCUAUCUCAGCCUUAUAACCAUUCUCAUGUCCAUAUAUGUAUUCAGGAAAUCAGUUCAUCCAUGUAUCAUGUUUUAGACUUAGUCAUGUAAUCAUGUUACCAGUCAUGCAGGUUCAAUAUAUAAUCUCAGUUAUCCCAGUAUUCUCAGCUAAUCAAUCUCAUUCAAGGAUGAAUAUUCCCAAGGGGGAAACCAUUGUAUAUAAAAGGGGCCCAAGAGUUAGAAAAUUUCACUAAAGACUUAGUCAUUUUGAAAACCCCUUAAACUUCGAUGAUUAUAUUUUCGACCUUCCCGGCCUUAGAAUGUCGAUUUUAAAGUUGAUUCAUGAUUGAGGAUGUCAAAAGUGCAUCUCGGGUGAGUUUCAGAAUUUUUGGACGAGCGUGAUGGCAUGUUUGGAUUUCCAAAAUAGCUCCACAGGGAUAAGCCCACAUUGCGUUCCCCAGUUUACUGGUAGGGGUGUGCAUGGCAGAGUCCGCGAUGCAUACUCCGGUCCUGCGAACCAGAUCCCCGCGAAGCAUCUUCCAUCGUGGCUCCCCUUAAAUUCUAGCUUUCAAUCACGUUUUUCAGGGGCAUUUGGGUCUUUUCCCUUCACCCAUUUGGUCCAUAAAAUGGGAUUAAGGGUCCCAAAAGGCAAAAUUAAUCAUUCUACUCAUAAUUCUCUCAAAAGAAAACAAUUGUCUCUCAAGAACAAACCCAAGCCUCUUCAAAAUUUAAGAUCAAACUUUAAGAAAUCACCAAGAACCUUCACGAAUUCUUCAAUUUAGGUAUGUGUGAUGUUCAUUCAUGGGUCCUUUUCACUCAUGGAGUCCAAGAAUCCGUUUUCAAGUUUAAAACCAUGAUUUUUUACACGUUAUUAUGAGUUACCUUCAUGAAGUUAUUAUGAAUCCUAAUUAUAAAUUAUGUUUACCAAGUGUUUUCAUUGGAAAAUGUCCUUGACACGUUUGAAUGAUGAUGUUCACAUGUUAAAUCAUAAAUUCAUGAUUUUAGUAUUUCAAUUAUGUUACAAUAACAUGUUUUAACCAUUCUCAUGCUUAAGCCUAUGAAUUUCAUAUGUUUGAUUAAAUGCCUAAAUGAUUUGGGUUUUGAACAAUGUCUACUUAUUGUGUUUUUGAAGCUUCAGUAUGUUCCUAUUGUUAUUGUUAUUGAGUCUCGGGGGUUAUGAAUACCCGAAAUUUAAUUGUUUACCUAGUUUUCAGUAUCUACGGAGUGAUUUAUGUUAUAUCAUGAGAAAUAUCAUUUAGUUAGUAAUGUGGUCAGUUGUUAGUCCAAUUAAGCUCAGUUGAGGCCAAUAAUCAGUGUCUUUCAGUUGGGAGUAAAACUUAGCACCGAGUGAACGUAGGGAUGGUGUCUCCCCCGUCAAUAGGCAUGAGGCACUUGUCUCCCCCAUUAGUAGAUAUGAGAUAUUAGUAGCAGUCCCUAGGUUCCAGAUCUACGGCGCCACCAUUGACUUUAAGGGGUCCCUCAUCAGCUAGGCAUGACACUCUCGUCCUUCGGCAUAUCAGAUUAGUGGAUCCACACUGCCAAUGUUAGUACCCGUGGCACGGUACUGACCCCCUUCCAACUGGGGUUACAGGUUGGACCUUGGUAGUACAUUGAGGCCUGUCGAUUAUAGCUAUCUCUGAUGAGUGGCAUAAAAUUGAGGAGACCAAAAGAUGUGGAUGGGAGUUGAAAAUGAUAAAAAAAGGGGCAAAUAAGAGUGCAGCUGAAGACUCAAAAGGGCCUCAGGUAGCGCGAUCGUGGUCUGUGCAUAGCAAUCGCUGUCAGCUAAUUUGAGGAUUUACCUAGCCUCAGGUAAUGCGGUCACGAUUAGAGAAAUGCGAUCGCAGUCGGUCAAGUUUGGCCAACAUAAUGCAAUCGAUCACUCAUAGUCGCGACCGUGUCAGUGCAAUCACAGCGAAAAAUCCAUGGUCGCGACAUAGCGGGAGGAAUGAGUAAAGGGCAUUGUGGUAAAAUUAGAUAGCUGAAGCAAGCCUUAUAAUGGGGAAUUCAAAAACACUUUAGGAUAUAGAGGGAAGAACCCUAGAAAGAGAGUGUGGAAAAUUAAUUUUGUUCAUUGUUUUGUAAUUAUUGUUCCAACGCGAAGUUAGUGAAUUUGAAUUGUGGAAUUGAAGAUUAUUUGACCCUCUCU